UAUGCCGCAGGAGCGGCCCAAGAAAUAGCAACAACAAAAACAACAAAAAAGACAAAAAAAAAAAAAAACAUGAAGUGCACUUUAUAUUUGUGACCUAUGAUUUUUUUUUUCCCCCCUCUUGCUCUGUGUAUCAGUGCCUCUCCCUGGAAAAGAGCCUUAGGCUAUUUUUAAAGACCUUGUUGAGUGGAGAUGUAAAGAAGAAGCAUAGAGAUAUUGUACAACUUUAUUUUUAGCACUACAGACUAUGUAUCUACCUCUCAAACUCAGGAAAAUAGCUCCCAACAUUCAGUGGACCCGUUACUCUGUACCAAGAUCUGAUGUCGUGUUUGUUCUUGUGUCACAUAUGUUGGCUCUUGUUUUUCUCUCUUGAUGCUUUUUGAGUCCAUGCAUUGAGAUUUUAGAAAGAAUGUUAACGUUUAAGGGUUGGUGGUUAAUGUAUUUGUGUGUGUUGGGUGUCUGUAAUAUGGAAAUUGAAAAUAGGGUCAUUAUUAAUCAAUUAGUCAAUAGAAGUAGGCAGAUGCUUUCUCAGUUCUAUGCCAUGCACGUAUUAUUUCUUAUAAAACUGUGCACUAACCCAAGGUUGCUUUUUAAAAGUACUGUUAUUUUUUAAGGACUGUUAUUGUUUAGUAUCAACCUUCUUGUAAACGAGCCACACUGAUAGAUAAGAUAUUAAUAUUUGCAAGGGUGGAAGUAGAACACGCAUUGAAGAGGCUAGGGUGAAAUGUAUUUACAGAGGAAUUGUAUUUACUUUCAGACUGUUUAAAGAUUCAUAUUCUUAAACUCCGCUCUGCUUGGGAUGCCCUUCACCUUUAGCCCUUUGAAUAAAUUGAUAUUCAUCCCUCAGGUCCACUCCUCCUCCUUAGAGCUUUCUGGGCCUGACCCUUUUGGGCUGAAUCAGUAUUUGUUCCUCUAAUAGCUCCCUGUAGUGAUUUACUGAAGUGUGAGAAUUCUCAGCUAAAUGUGAGCUCUUUCAUGUAAGGACCAUCUCUAGGAGCCCCAGUGGAGUCUGAAGAUUAUACACUAAAUGGUUGAUUUUUGGUUUAAGGAAUAAAGUUUAUGAUUUGCCUUUGCAGUGGAAAAUAUAUUAGAGUAAUUUUGCAUUAUAUAGCUGUGAGCAACAUACACCAUAACUCUCGGUUUUAGAAAAACUGAGGUCCAAAGCAGCUGUAUUGCUUGCUAAAGUUAUACAGAAUGUUCCUUAAACUGAGUUGGCACUGUGUUCAUUUCUCUUUCCCUCCUAUGUACUUUUCAAGACCAGCAUUUGCCAAACUAUGCUGCACAGACACUAGGGCCUUAGGCUAUGGAACUGGAGUCAUGUCCAGUAAAGGAGAAUGUGUAAUAUUGGGAGAAAAAAACCUUCAGUUAAAGAAAAUUUAAUGGUUUAAAAAACAAAAACAAACAAACAAAAAACUCCAGGACUCUUCUGAACUAUAAUGGGCUCAAGUGCAUAUUGCCAAAGAGAUGGCUAUAGCAUGCAGUGUUUUGCAAAGUCAUAUAUUAACACAACCCCUCUUUAAAAUUUCUCUUCUCUUAAAAAACUAUUUUUUUUUGAAAGAUACGAUUUAGAGGAGCUGUACUGAAUGAAUUCUGUCUGAUGUUCAUAAGUUAUUUAUGUCAAAGUCAUCUUGACUUUGUAUGUGAACAAAAGAAAUGGAAAAAUAUUGGUUGUGGGUUUUUUUCCUGGAUUUGGCUCCGACUUACUCCGUGAGUUUUGACAGAUUCCAAAAUGGCAGGAAAUUGUUUCCGUAGUAUCUGUUGGGAGAACAUUUAAAUUUAUCAAAUUCAAAUCCUAGGCUUAAUAUGAUUUCCAGUUUAAUUACAAGGGGGUCGUUAGAGGUAGUUAUAUUGUGAUUUGAGAAGGCACCCUCAGAAAGCUAAUAGAGAUUGGAGGUUUGGGGAGAGGACCCACAGCACUAGUCAUAGAGAGAAAGAACCCGUGAGUGUCCAGGAUCAUCAGUGCGAGGCAGUAUAAAUGCUGUCGCUACGUGGGUUCAUAAUGGUAGAAGGGACAGUUGAGUUUUUAUAGCUUCCCCAAGGGAAGAAGUAGCUUCAUUUGGUUAAAUGUGGCCUGGAAUAAAACAUCCACACAAAAGAAAUUGUGGAUUUCAGUAGGAGAAAUUGACUCAUGCUGAAUGGUCUCUCUGGACUGGAAAGGGAAGGGAGAGCUCUAGCUGGGAGUUAGUGUGGGAGGAGUGUGCCUCAGGCCCCCAGACUCUGCUGUCUUCUAGCUUUAUGACCUCAGGCAACUCCAUCUCUCUGUUUACUUAAGAGAAAAGUGGGAGGUCUUACCUAAUAUGACUGAUUCUAUGAUACCGAGCUGGGAGGGUCAAAGAAAGGAAGGCAGACUUGUCUGCACAGUUGAUUUUUGAAGGAGCAUGUUAGAGACAUGAUCACAGACUGAUUUUUUUUAACUUUUUAAAAAAUUAUUAUUAACGUAUAGUUGAUUUGCAAUGUUCCAUCAUGUUCUGUUGUACAACAAAGUGACCCAGUCACACACGUUUCCCUGUGCUAUACAGUAAGGUCCCAUUGCCCAUCCAUUGCGGAUAUAACUGUUUGCAUCCCCCAAACCCCCAAAAUGCCCAUCCCUCCCACUCCCUCCUGACCUGGGAACCCCAAAUCUGCUCUUCUUGGCCAUACUCUCAUUUUUGAAUCAAUAUGUUAGAAACAUGAUCACAGACCGAUUUUUAAACAUUCCAGAUUUGGUAGUCUGAUUGAAUUUUUAUUCAUAAAAAUACUUUAGGUUUUUUUUAAUAUAAAAAUACUGCCAUUGUUUGAAACAAUAAAAAAAAAUCUAUCUUUGGAAUUACCUUAGAGGAAAUUUAAAGACCCCCAAAUUAAGUACAAUUGUUUUAUGUAGUUAUAAAUAUUUAUAUAUACUUAUGUAUAUUUUGUGUGUGUAUAUAUUUUUAAUAUCGGAUGAUAGUGCCUAAUUUGUUUACUGCUUCACUCAUUAGGCUGAGGUUUGAAUGGUUUGAAAUAGUCAAAAAGUCUGUAGCAAACAAAGUAAAGUUAACCAUUGGAAUUUCCCAUCAUGGCUCAGCAGGAAUGAAUCCAACUAGCAUCCGUGAGGAUGCAACUAGCAUCCAUGAGGACGCAGGUUCAAUUCCUGGCCUCGCUCAGUGGGUUGAGGAUACAGCAGUGCUGUGAGCUGUGGUGUAGGUUUCAGACGAGGCUCAGAUCUGGCAUUGCUGUGGCUGUGGUGUAGGCUGGCAGCUGUAGCUCUGAUUUGACCCCUAGCCUGGGAACUUCCAUAUACCGUGGGUGCAGCCCUAAAAAG
rnacentral:lncRNA from 1 species